UUUAAACAAAAACAUUGUAAUUCUUCUCCAAAAAAAAUCAUCUAAACUCGUAAACAUGAAAAAACUUACCAUAAAUAUAUAAAAUAUAUCUGAUAAAACCCAAAAAAAAAUGCGCCUAAGAAUUCGCGACACCCUCUGUAAAAGAACAAAACUCGGAUUAUGCAGAGCAAUAUAAUUCGAAUGGCAGAGUACAUAAAAUAAAUUUGAGAAUAACUCGCAAUACUGUAGGAUUUUUUAAAAAGACAGGAGAGGCGAAAAUAUAUUUCCCAACCAUCUACCUUAAAAAAAUUGGUGAUUCCGUGACCACUUUUAACCCAUGAUAAGUAAGUUCAAAUCUAUUCUUCCUUGUUGGCAGACUAACCGCUCUUCUUGUUGUGGUUCCUCAAAAACUUAGGGUCCAUCUCUUUGGUGGAGUUGCUGCAAUAGUGUUUUAUUAGUCUUGAUUUCAACAAAAAUAUGUACCUUAAAGCCAUAACAAAUUAGUUUAUUUUUUUGAAAAAAAAAAAGAGAAGAGAAGCAUACAACCUUUUCCAACGAAAAUAUAUUAGAACUGAAAAAUCAAAAUAUAUGAAAUAUGAAGGACAAAUUUAUUAGAAUAAUUUUCAAAAACCAUUUAUUUAUACUACUGAUAAAACACGAACCAAAUUUUAUCUUCUUAAUCAUAAAAUUCAUCAUCCAAUUAUGAUAAUGUAGUUCAAAGAAUCAAACACAACCCUUAAAACACAUUAAAAAUGUUAGAAACAAAGAUUGAAACUUCUAGAAAACCACCAUUUCGGAACAAUACUUAAACUAUGUGAUCUAUAUAUAAAAAUUAAAAUUAGUAAAACAAAAUAGAUACCAGCCCAUGAUGUAGCAAGCGACGCAAUAGAUGUGCAAAUCGUAAGCGCCACUUU
rnacentral:lncRNA from 1 species